UUUCUACGUGAGGGUGUGGAAUUUUUAUUCCUGGUGUCGCUAGUCAGAAACUACGCGGACGUUGUACGGAACAGACGUUCCUGAAACCACUUCUUUGCGUUUUCGCGGUGCGUUCAAGUAUAGACAGGAAGACAGAUAGAUAAGAAAAGUUAAGACACUUAAGGACCUAGGAUGGAUAACUGACACUUCAUAGGUUAACAACGGGACUAAUUAUUAACGACUUCGGUGUUGCAAACUGACAUAUACUUGGAAACGUUUGGUAAUAUUCUAAAAAUUCAUUUUUAAAAAGGAAGAGAGUACAGGAUAUACAAUACAAUAAAGGAAUACGUGUGACGACGCUAUGACCGUUCGCUCGCGGUCAAUCAAUCGAACUAAUUAAUUGAACAAAAACCAAUCAUUCGGCUCGUGAGACAUCCACUGAACGGGACGUCAAUCGAUAAAGCUAUUUUACGAUCGAAACUAAACGGCCGAAAUACUCCAUUUCGAACAGCUUCCUCAUAUUUAAAUUCAUAUGCGAAAUAAUAUGUAAGUCCUAGAAUAUCUUUGAUUAAGAUGUUACGAUACUCGAACCAUGUUUUUCUGCCAUAGUUCGAUCUACGGAGUGUGUACACCAUCUCCAUCGUUUACCGAUACAUGUAAUAGCAUCUAUGCAUGCUCGAGAACUUUGUACUAUUUUCAUUUUGUAUUUUUCAUCAUUCGGGUAUUUUCGCUGAGAUGGUAAUAGUCCAACAUUUUGACAUCAAAAGAUACACGGUCUGUCUAAAAAGAAACCGAACUAUUGCUAUAAAAAGAAAAAAGUACAAGUAAAGUUUUUACACAAAAUAAUCUUCGUAUAUUUACUCAAAAUAAUCUUCCUCUGCGUCAAUACUGCUUGUAGACCGCGUAAUUAACAUUUCGAAAGACCUUUGCAGCUCUUGUUUUGGUAGCCCGUUUAGUACGGCGGUUACAGCGGCCUGAAUCUCCGAAACGUUGCUAUAAUGUGUCCCUUUCAUUGGAAUUUUCAAUUUUGGGAAAAGUAAUUAAUCGCAGGGUGACAGAUCAAGCGAGUAGGGUGGAUGAUCCAAGGUAACAAUGCCUUUUUUAGCCAAAAAUUGACGCUCAAUUGCGGCUUUGUGUGCAGGUGCAUUGUCGUGCAGCAACGUCCAACUUCGUCUUCAAUGGACUCUCGAUCGUUUUUAAAUCGAGCGAACCACUCGUAAACUCGUGUACGGCUUAGGCAUUCAUCCCCAUACACUUGUUUUAAUAACGUAAGCGUUUCGGUAAAAGUCUUUUUCAAUUUAACGCAGAACUUAAUAUUAGCGCCCCAUUGCGGUAUUCCAGCAAGAGCAAGCGUCACAAAACGUCCGUUAUAUUUCAAGUCACACAACGCAAUGUGAACGAUCGAUUCAUAUGAUUAUCUUUUAUUCUUUUAUUAUCUGUAACUAGAUGGCGCGAUUAGAAACAAUUUUAGAGCAAAAGUUCGGUUUCUUUUUGGACAGACCGUGUACAUCUCUCUCGCGACACUAAUACAUCUAAAACAAGUCUUUCUACAUGUAUUUCGCUUUCCUUCAAGAGGAUCAUUCGAGACUGAUAACAUUCUACCAAACUAAUCAUUGCAAUUAGCGGAUCGUACAACCAGACCCUGAAAUCAUCGAUGAUGAUCGUCGCAGAACGAUCCAGAGCGAUGGUAGAAGCAUAACCAGCGUUACGCUAAUCGAGUCCGAGGGUGGGGAGGAAGAGAAACAAAGUUAUUCAUCAGUCGCAUUUACUGCAUCGCUAUAAACGACCGACUCGUUGUCGUUUAAUGGCCAGAACGUCGCCAUUAAUUCGCAGGUGUUGCAGCUGCACGCGCAGUGGACGCGUACGAUGCACCACCGUGAAUUCGCGCCAUUCAAUUGCAACAUGGACGCGCCCACGAAUGCAUUGUGCAUCGGCAUUUCAAAUAUGGAUUGAAGGGGUACUCUUAUUUUCUAUUUUAUUGGUUACUGGAUAUUUUAUUGGUUAUCGCAGCUCCUAAAUUUGACAAUUUAUUUUGGGAGUGUGACAAAUGGAAUAGAAUUUCUUUUCAGAGUGUUUAUUUAAGGCAUACUGAAGAACGAGAAACAAUUUUUUUAUUGUCAUUUUCAUACAAAAUGGCGGCGACAAAGCCCGUCGUCGAAGACAGCUUUUUUGAAAACACCAAGAGAAUAUUGUUGUGAAGCUACUGUAAAAAUUUCAAAUGGAUCCAUGCAAUAGUCACUGAGAAAUCCGUCCUCCCAAUUUGAAGAAAGUGGUUUCAAUAAAAACGCGUUUAAAGUUUUCUAAACACUUUAAUCGCGCUCUGAGGCACUGCGGCAAAAUCGAUAAUUCAACCUUUUGACAUUUGGUUUUCGCUAUAAAUCAAAUGACGUAUUAUUUUUAUGACCCUAAAGUAUCGUUUAAGCAAAAAAAAAAAAAUCGAGUUUUUGAAAAUCCUAGAGUGGUUUUACCCCUUAAGGUAUCUGUAUUUUUUAAAUGGAUGAAUUCCCGAAGUUAAAAUUUGAUAUUUGGUGUUCUUCCACACUCUUCGUAACAUCCCCCAAAUUUCAUAUCAAUUAGCCACCGAUACCUUUCGGAAGUAAUAUCCUUUUCAGAUAUACGAAAUCGCAGAAGAUCGAAAAUCAAAAUUAAGAAAUAUUUAUUAUUUCGCAAAAGCUUAAGCCCCGUUCGAACUGUCGCGUGACGUGAAUCUUCGACAAUGAACGCAAUGAGUGUUGCGAUUGCCACAUCGUCUUCCAAGCAGAAACUCGUUUCGAUUGAAAUGCGAACAAACACGUGUCGACAGGAUGCGUUCGAUUGCACAGAUGCACGUGCAACUGAUUUGUCGUUCGACCAAUGAAGCAUUCCCUUUCCUAAACAGACGAACCGGCCGCGAAGGAAAUAGAAAGACGCGAAACAAAAAGAAGAAGCAACUAUCGAUAAUGAUCUUCCGCAGACUCUGUACGGUUAUCGCGUAAAUAAAGCGAGGGAAUUAUCAUUUAAAACCGGUAUUACGACUAUCAACCGGGCGCGCACUUCUACUGGCCUACGGUUCUAACGGAAUAUGAUUUGUCUAUAACGCCGUCGUUGCGUGUUUCGUCAUCGCUGAAUAGCAACUUUUGCAAUAUUCCUGUUCGUUAAAUGUUCAUUGGUUUCUCCGGUGAAUAGGUUCUAGACCACGCUCGUGAGAAUACAGAAAAUAUUUUAAUUUAGCUUUUCUUUUCUUCAUUUUCGUUUAAUUUUACUUUUUUGUUAUAUAAGAUAAAAAUAAAAGUGAAUGAAAUAAAAUGUCGAUAUUAGUGCUCAGUCAUUCUUUUUCGUCGUUCUUUUAUUUGUAAUUAAUUUUAUUCUAGUACUAAAGAAAAUAAAGUGCAUUGUGGGUAAUAUAUCAAUGCUACACUAAAAACGAUUUUCAUAGAAUGCAAGAAAUCAUCUUCGGUGAUAUUAAACCUCGCACAGACUUUUCCAUUAUGUUAUUAUUUUUAAAUAAUUUUUCUUUUACGUAAAAAAAAAAAAAAAUUAAAUUACAACCGAGUAAAAUAGCAAUGUAAAGUAUAAAAUUAUUUACAUAAGAUGCAAGAAAUCAUCGUCGCUGGUAUCGGAGCUGUUACAUAACGUUUUGGAUACACUUGUCCCAUUAAUUUUAAUUCUAUUAAAUUAAUGAUUAAAUUCAAGAGACAUAAAAAACACAUACUACACAGACAAAUUUAGAAAAAAUAUAUACAUGUUAAACCGUAUUUUUGCUCGUACCAUUAUUUGUUUCGAUACAGUUGUGAAACUUAUCAUAAGCAAAACUGUCGAAACGUGCAAACAUUUAAUUUGAAACUUAACAGAGAUCAAUCCCCCUCGACAAUGAAAUUUAUUCGCAGUGUUUAACAAGCUCGAUACACCGCAACGUCCACGAUAAAUUCGCCGUUAUUUGUAUUUUAAGUUAUCUAGAAUUGCAUCGGACAAAGUUAACGCGCGCAGUCGUUGCAGCGUCUGCACGAUUACACGA